AGGGCUAUAGCCAAGCGGUAAGGCAUCGGGUUUUGAUCCCGUGAUUCGCAGGUUCGAAUCCUGCUAGCCCUGCCA
rnacentral:tRNA from 1 species